AUUGAACGCUGGCGGCAUGCCUUACACAUGCAAGUCGAACGGCAGCACGGGAGCAAUCCUGGUGGCGAGUGGCGAACGGGUGAGUAAAGUAUCGGAACGUGCCCAGUCGUGGGGGAUAACGUAGCGAAAGUUACGCUAAUACCGCUAACGAUCUAUGGAUGAAAGCGGGGGAUCGCAAGACCUCGCGCGAUUGGAGGGGCCGAUAUCAGAUUAGGUAGUUGGUGGGGUAAAGGCUCACCAAGCCGACGAUCUGUAGCUGGUCUGAGAGGACGACAAGCCACACUGGGACUGAGACACGGCCCAGACUCCUACGGGAGGCAGCAGUGGGGAAUUUUGGACAAUGGGCGAAAGCCUGAUCCAGCCAUGCCGCGUGCAGGAUGAAGGCCUUCGGGUUGUAAACUGCUUUUGUACAGAACGAAAAGGUUUGGGCUAAUAAGCUGAGCUCAUGACGGUACCGUAAGAAUAAGCACCGGCUAACUACGUGCCAGCCGCCGCCGUAA
rnacentral:rRNA from 1 species